rnacentral:rRNA from 1 species
AUUGAACGCUGGCGGCAUGCCUUACACAUGCAAGUCGAACGGUAACGGGCCUUCGGGCGCCGACGAGUGGCGAACGGGUGAGUAAUGCAUCGGAACGUACCUUUCAGUGGGGGGAUAACGUAGCGAAAGUUACGCUAAUACCGCAUAUUCUGUGAGCAGGAAAGCAGGGGAUCGCAAGACCUUGCGCUGAUUGAGCGGCCGAUGUCAGAUUAGCUAGUUGGUGAGGUAAAGGCUCACCAAGGCGACGAUCUGUAGCGGGUCUGAGAGGAUGAUCCGCCACACUGGAACUGAGACACGGUCCAGACUCCUACGGGAGGCAGCAGUGGGGAAUUUUGGACAAUGGGGGCAACCCUGAUCCAGCCAUGCCGCGUGAGUGAAGAAGGCCUUCGGGUUGUAAAGCUCUUUCGGCCGGGAAGAAAUCGUAUGGGCUAAUACCCUGUGCGGAUGACGGUACCGGCAUAAGAAGCACCGGCUAACUACGUGCCAGCAGCCGAC